UGGGCAGAUCAAGGCCAUCACCCAGGCAAACCCAUUGAGGAAGCCCACCAUCCUUUUCGUCAUUAGCGUAGGGUACCAGAGUGGGAAACAGAUAGCCACGUAGCGGUCCAGUGCCAUAAUCAGCAUGAUGAGAGAGGAGGUGCUGGACAAAAAGCAGGACACACCUGGACUGGAAUGCGAGUUCAUCGCUGUGCCCUAAGUCAUCACACUGACACCCAGUCACAGUCAGAUGCUUACGUGCAGGGUACCUGAGUGGGAAGCAGAUAGCAGUGUAGCGGUCCAGUGCCAUAAUCAGCAUGAUGAGAGAGGUUAGGGUUCCAAAGUAAUGUACCAUCUGCUUCUGAAACAGGCAGACGUGGAACGAGAUGGUUCCAUCGUCAAACCAGUACCUGGCUAUGACCUUUGGCAGUGCCACAGUGCAGAAGCCAAUGUCGGAGAGGGCGAGGCUCACCAUGAUGAUGUACAUGGGCUUCUGGAGGCUGGGCUGUAGCACAAAGAGCACCACAAGGAGGCAAUUUUCUGCCACUGCCGUUACAUAGAUGAUGAAAAAGCCAGUGGCCAUUAAACUGUAAUAUUUUGAAUCCAUCCCAGGAAA